rnacentral:misc_RNA from 1 species
GUGAGUCAUCGAAUCUUUGAACGCACAUUGCACCUCUUGCAAGGGAGGUAUGCCUGUCUGAGCGUCAUUGAAAACAUUAAACCCUUGGGGGUUUGUUCUGGGCUCCGCAUGGAAGUGCGCUGCCUCAAAUACAUGGUCUAGCCUAUGGAUGAGCUCCUCUUGGACCUGCCAUGGGACUGGCCUUUCUCUGCAUUGUAUUUGACCUCAGAUCAGGUAGGAAGACCGCCUGAACUUAAGCAUAUCAAUAAGCGGAGGA